CCAAUGCUAUGUCCACCAACCAAAACAGUGAAACCUGGGAAAAAAUAGCACUGGAAUUUAAUGCCAGCGCUGAAUUUCCCAGAACUCCCAAGUAGCUGAACACUGAAAAGUAGCAGAGGAAAAUGUAAGUGUAUAAAACUUUCGGUUGAUUUAGAGCUAUAUGGAUUAAUUACAUUGCAUAUUCAAAAAUAUAAUGAGCAGAAGGUUUUGGACCAUUUGAAGAGAGACCAAACUGCGGACAAAAUAGACAUACUUGCACAGAUGUAGGGGCACAAAUGUUGAGUUUGAUUGGCAUGGCAAUCAAAUCCAACCUUUACCCAACAGUUGUGACAGUGCAUCUGGUUUCUUCACAUCUGUUGCACAAGAUAGUCAAGUGGAAGUAGAUUACCUACAAUUGGAAGACACAUAGCAGACGUCCAAUGUACCCUCUACUUCCACUGUGCUGCUCAGUACACCCACGACAACUGCUGUCCUGCCCAAGAAGACAGCCAAGAUGGCUCAGGCUCGUUCAAAAAAUAAAAAAUUAAAAGAUGUAGGGAGCGAAACCCUUAAUGUAUCUUUUAUAAAAAAAAAAUUGAAACAGCAAGACUAGAAAAAAGAAGUAAGAUAGUAUUUUUCAACAAGAAAAAAAGAAAUUUUAGAAGUAGAGCUUCAAAUAAAAAAAUUCGAACUCAAUAAAUUAUUAGGUAAUAGUGGUUAGGUAUGUACCUAAUAAAGUAAUUUUAAAUAAAAAUUGUAAUUUCUUUAAAUAAUAAAAUUAAUAAAAAAUGUA